CACGCGGCCGCAGCGCACGGAGCGCGGUUCCUCGGGGCGGAGCGGGAAGCGGCAGCCGGCGGGGCCCCCCGGAGCUGCCCCAGCGCCGAGCAACGGGGCCCGGAGCCGGGUUCUGCCCGUCGGCAUUAUCAAAGAUCGAAUGAGCAACUCGCAUUCUUGGAGGUAAAGUCCAAGUUCUAAUUCCUGCCUCACCUGCUGAUCAUCAGGUGGACUGCUGAGGCUCGAGCUCAGGAGCAACCCGUAUUGAAAAGUCUGCAUCCAAAAGGAUGGCCGCUCUUGCCUCUGGUUCUAAAAACUGUACGUAAUGACUCAGCUCUCACUAGAGCCAUAGUGCUGCAUCCAGUUUCCCUGCUGGUGGAAGCUCCAGUAGAACCUUCUCAUCCCCAGAGAAGCACAUGAGAGAAGUCCUAGCUGUCCUAGGAACUCCUUGCUGUAAUGAACUGCAUCCCCAAAGCCUCCCGCAUGCAAGCACCUCUGCAGCACUGAAGCGGUGAAUGAUGGCAUCAGAAGGCAAUAUGGAGAACGCAGUGGCCAGUUUCGUGUGGGACACACCUGAGCAACUGGGAGCUGAUGCUCCACCAAAACUCAAGAUGGAACUCAGCAAGAUCCAGCCCACAGGGGGUACAAGCACAGCACGACGGAGCUGUCACUAGCAGCACUUGUCAGCCUGCUGUACAGCUAUUACGGGCAGCCCUGCUACGUGGAGGGAACAGCAGACAUGCAGUGGUGUUGGUGCAUCAGGCUCAUGACCUCCUAGGUAAGCUGUACAAGGGCGAGGUGGGGGAGAUGAGGUCCAAGAUGAGGGCUACGCACCACUGAGCAACCAAGCUCAUCCUUGCCUUCUCUCCAGGGGGCAAUGUUCGGUGAGUAGAGCAGUGCCUUCCUGUUCCAAGAAGUCUAGAUGGCUGGGACUGUGAAGGAGCUCCAAGGAGGCUUUCCAAGUUCUAAGGAGCACACCAUUUUGCAGAGCACCCAAGAGAGAACAUGGGAGCGCUACAAACUGAUGGCAAAGUGGGACAUCACAGCCAACUGCUGCCUGUGUAAGGAGCUGACAAGAAACAAUCCCUCCCUCUCCAUCUGAUAGGCAGUUGGAAGAGACUUUUAGAUGUCGUCCAGUCCACCUCCCCUGCAGUGAACAGGAUCAUCUACAGCUGGAUCAGGUUGACCCGGGCCUGAUCUUAGAGAUCUUCUAUGUUACAGACUCUGUGAUUGGUACAACUCUAAGACUCACGCUCCCCUCUGUGUCUCUCCAGAGGUAGUUCUUUAACACUACAUUUCCCCACCCCACCAAUCUGUCCUCUCUCCAGCAAGUAAGUGGAGCUACAUAGACGUAAAGGGUGGAUGGUAAAGCCAGAUGAGCUCCACCCUGUCAACCGUUUGCUGAACUGCAUCACCAUCCCAAAGUCCCCUCCUGUCCCAUUCUGCACAAGAGGGACAAAGAUCCAGACAGCCCUUGGCCUCUGUUUCCCCUCCUCCAGCUCUGUGUGAUGACAUCCUUGUGGUGCAGGGUGACACUCAAAGGCCACAAGUGCCUUCCCUUCAGGCAUGACCUCCUCCAG
rnacentral:lncRNA from 1 species